CCUCUCUCGUUCUCAUCUCUACGAGAAAAAAGUUCCCUCAUCUGAUUAAGAAAUCAUAACUUUGUAAACCUAGAAAACCCUUUUCGGUAAUAAGCCCUAAUUUCUUUCCUAAUUUCUUAAACCCUAGAAAAUUACUCUGAUUAUCUACACAUUUGAGUUUCAAGAAGAAGAUUCAGCUUGAUCCUUACCUGUAAAUCUGAUAUCUGAUUUCAAUAUUGGGUUUUUGGAUUUGUAAUUGUGUUUAAUUUUUUAUUUCUAACUGUCAAUUGUGCUGAGGUAGAGACGUGAUUGCUCAACCUCAAUCUGGUAUUGGAAAAAAUUUCUUUGAUUGCUCUUACUGUUUGUCAAAUCGUUGAUACUUCUAAUCGAGAAGGAGUACCCAGAGGAGGAAGUGAUUGAGAAGAUCAUAUCUAAUAAUAGUGGAGAGCAUUUUGCAGAAACCAGUUCAAGAGCAUGGAAAAUGAGAAGUCCUUGAAACUGUUGUGGAUAUUAAAGAUAGGCAUGAGGCUGCUAAAGAGAUUGAAAGGAGUCUAUUGGGGCUUUACCAGGCCAAGGUUUGUCAGAGAAGCAACAGGAAAUGUAUGUGUAUGGGUUUGUGGAGUUCUCUGUUACUUUGCGCUGCGCUGCUUCUGUAUGGAUCCAAAACAACAAUAUCUCAGUGUGGAUGCUAAUGGUUGGAGGUGCCACAUCAGAACUUGGGUUAUGGAUGUUUGAAUUGUCUGUCACGCAACAAGUGCAGAUCAUCACUUCGUUGGAGGAGUACAGAACUCACUGCAGUACUAUUCAAUUUAUUUUCGUAAUUUCUCAGGUUAAAAAGUAGAGCGAGUGGUUACUUUUGCGUGUAUGAUGCAGUUGGAAGGAGCUUGAUUGAGUUCUAAAUCAGGUGAUACUGAGAUUAGCAGAAGGAGAAGCUUGCUGGUAAUGGAAGAUAAAGUGUGGUGUGACACUUGGUAAUUAUGGUGUUGAACCAGAGAAUGCUAUUGAACUUGGACAGGAUAAUGCUAUUGCUAAAAGAGGUCAAGGUCGUCCACCAACCCCAACUACAGUUGAUAAGGUAUGACACUUGGUAAUAAUGGUGUUAAACUUGAGAUGGAGAAUGCUAUUGAACUUGAACAUGAAAAUGCUAUUGCUGAAAUAGGUCGAGGUCGUCCACCAAAAAAUAGUUCAGGAAGAACAGAGAGGCCCCCGACUAACGCUGAUAAGGUUUACUCAGAGUACUAUAAGAUUUUAGAGAAGUCCGAUUAUCUAACGGGAGAGACUGUUCGUGACAAAUGGUUAGCGAAGCUUCUUCAAGGUAUUGAAUAUGUUUGUGAUUCCAAGGACUAUGUGAAAGAUGAACACAGAGAAAAAUGUGGCUCUUUAUCACUUGAGAAGGAAACUGCCCUCUGGCCGGAUGUUGCUGUUACAGCCAUAAUUGCUCUUGAGAAGGCCUCUCACAAUACUUUCAGUGGUGAUUCUAAAAAAUAUGUAAAGAUUGUGCGCCAGUUGCUUUCAGUGGCGAUUCUGAAAAAUAUAUAAAGAUUGUCUGCUUUAAGUGUUGUUGUUAAUUUAAGUGAUGUUGUUAAUUUGUGGUUUGGUACUUUACCUGGCAUCAAACGAAAAAAGGGAAACAGGAAUUAGAUUCUUCAACCUCGCAAACAAAGAGAAACACUUCAACCGAAGGGCAAGUUAUUGUGACCUCAUCUUAUGUGGAUUGGAGGCAACUAAUGCUUAGAGCUUCCUGUUCCUUUAUUUUAUGUGGUAGGAGGGAAAGUGUUUCAGUGAAAAAUUCUGACCUAGCUGGUAAGUCUAGGGACAGUAAUAACAAAUACAAGGGCAGUAGCAGUAAUGGAAGCAAGUCCAGCGAUGAGAUAUCUACCAAAUCCAAGUAAAAUGCAUAUGACAUCAGUAUUUGUGCUGCAAAAAAGUUCUUUAAUUUUGUUCUCAUUAUGAUUCAUUCUGUGUUGUGCUUCUGGCUAGUAGUAUAUUAAGUAGUAACUUGCACUUUGAAAUUAUUUUGUUGACAGGGAUGAGUAUUAUGCAUGAGGACUGCAUCAGAUAUCUAAGGUUGAGCUUUCUAAAUAGCAACUGCAAACUAGUAAGAGCUUUUACUUGGAUAGUAAAACCUUUGUUUCCUUGUGUUCACAGGAAAGUUUGCUUGAUUAGUAGCUGGCUGGCUCUCUUGGUCAAUACAUCUGCAAGUCCUUCUGCCAG